UCUUCUGCCUCCCUUACUCUUUCUCUCAUCUUCCCUCUUACAAGAGAAAACCCUAACUCAAAGAAACCCAAAAUACCACCACCGAAUCUCUUUCUCGCUCACAUUCUAUUUAAAAAACUUCCGGACGUUGUAGAUUUCGAACCCUAGAAUUCAAAACAAAAAUAAAAACCCCAAAAUCUCAAUGUUGAGCUGAAAAAAAAAACCCUAGAUUUCAAAAUCAAAAUCUCUGAAGAAAAAUGCGUGAAGGUUGUGUUCUGGUGGAUGAAUGAAACUGAUGCUGUAAUCGUUACACAAAACCCCUUUUGAUUCAUUCAAAACCCAGACUGGAUUCGGGUUUUGAGUUGCAUCCAGUAAAAGGGUUUAGCUCAAUUUUGAGUUUUCUGAAGCCAGUGAUGCCAGGAUAACCCCUUCUGAUGAGAACCAGAUUGAGAAGAAAUCUGUUGAACAAAGAAAGGAUUGUUUCUGCUGUUAAAUUGGAUGGAUGACUGGAAUUUUGGGUUAUGGUGGAUUCGUUUUUACAGCGAGUUGUGGAGAGAUUGAGCAAGGUCCAAUUUCAGAAAGGAUCUGAGAUUGUUAGUUCUGGUGGGUAUCUAAGAAGAUGAUGGUCUGAUUGAUGCUGAGAAGAACAUGCAGAAGAAGACAUGGAUCUGGUGGUGUUACUGAGAUUUGAGUUGGUGCUGCUGGUAAUUGUUUUACGAUGAACCUAUGUUAAAAUCUUGCAAUCUGUGUGGAAGAUCUUAAUAAGUUACUAGGUGAAUGCAAUGAAAAUUAUCUCAGUGAGGGGGUAAGCAAGCCUGCUAAACUCUGGAAUGAACAACGCAAAAUGAUAUUGGAAGACACGUUUAAGCAAGUUUUUCCUAUGAUGGAAAAGGAAGCUCGGUCUGUAUUAAAUGCUAGGGCAAAUAACUGGCUUAUUAUGGAGUACGAGAAGCACUUGUGGGUAAGGUUUCUGUGGCACCUUAUCAACGGAAGGAAGCUGAUAUUGGUCCAGAUGAUGAAGCGGCACCAAGAGUUUUGGCUUGUUGUUGGGGACCUCGAAAGCCAGCAACCACUUUUGUGAUGUUGGGUUCAUCAGGUGAGGUACUGGAUGUAUUGUAUGCAGGUUCACUUAGCCUUCGGUCUCAGAGUGUUUCUGGCCAGCAACGGAAGAAAAAUGAUCAACAACGUGUUCUUAAGUUCACGACCGAUCAUCAACCACAUGUUGUGGUUCUAGGAGCUGUUGCAUUUUCUUGUACGAAUCUGAAAGAGGAUAUUUUCGAGGUGCAGAUGUCUAACUUGUUCUUGCUGUAUGUUUAAUUCAUGGUCUACCCCUUUUAAAGAAAUGCUUACAUUUUAUUUCUUCAUUGUUCAUAGACAACUUUCAUCAGCUUUCAUGAAAUAACUAAAACUUAAGCUAGGGGUGCUUACUUGCGUGGAAGGAGUACAUUUAGGUGGUUUCUCUAGGGAGUUUCCUAAGUAGUUGAAUACUUCUUUCCUUAUUAUCUUGGAGUUUUUGGAUGUAAGGGGCCUGGUGAAACAUAAAUUAGGCUGCCAGCUUUUUCUGGUGAUUAUUUGCUCUAUUUUUUUAUAUUUUUAACACGAGAUUGUCUAUCAUCGUUUGUAGAUCAUUUUUAAGAUGGUUUAGGAAUACCCUAGAGAAAUUGGUCAAGAGAUGGAGGAUUUAAAUGUUGUUUAUGGGGACGAAUCCUUGCCCCGUCUUUAUGAGAACUCACGGAUUUUGUCUGACCAGCUACCAGGGCAGCCAGGUGAGUUCUGUUUCCCACUUUUGAUUCAGGUGCUUGAUGAGUUUGACUCUGCUUUCUUUAAUGUCUGCAGGGAUCGUCAGGCGUGUUGUUGCGCUUGGUCGGUACCUUCAGAAUCCUUUGGCAAUGGUUGCAACACUUUGUGGACCAGGGAAGGAGAUACUCUCAUAGAAGCUCGACUCGUUAGAUCAUUUUCUUACCCCUGAUGAGAAAUAUGAUAUGGUUGAACAAGUGAUGGUAGAUGUCAUGUUUGGAUAUGGUAUCAAGAAGUUACAAAUUAUGAUGACAAUUGUGGAUGACUUGGUAUCCAUCGAUCCCGUAUUGUAUUUUGGUUAAGUGGUCUACGACACUUCACGUUUGAACCAGUGCCUCUACGGUAUCAUCUACCACUAUGUUUCUCAUAAUCGUUGUUUGGUUAACCAAGAAGAGAGCGCGCAACAAAAGGAGAUCAUUUUCAUUUAGCAAUGUAACCUAGACCACCAUAUUGGAAUGUGUAUGCUACUGUCGUAUUUGUAUGGGAGGCCAACAUCUGUGUUUUACGAUUUAUAUGAUAUUUUUAGUCAUGUAAAAAAAAUCUGUCAUUUUCUUUUCUUUUGUUGCGCAACACUUUCGAACAAGGUGAUUUGAAGUUAGCUAAGUAAUGUAAUCGGAACAAGGUGAUUUGAAGUUAGCUAAGUAAUGUAAUUGGAGUGGUUGGAUAAAGUUAGCUAAGUAAUGUAAUUGGAGUGGCAGGAUAACUUGAAUGAAUGUAAAUUUGUUACACUGGCAGGUUAAUGUGAAUGUGAAAUACUUUCGGCAA